rnacentral:rRNA from 1 species
ACCCGCACAAGCGGUGGAUGAUGUGGAUUAAUUCGAUGCAACGCGAAAAACCUUACCUACCCUUGACAUGUCCGGAAUCCCGAAGAGAUUUGGGAGUGCUCGCAAGAGAGCCGGAACACAGGUGCUGCAUGGCUGUCGUCAGCUCGUGUCGUGAGAUGUUGGGUUAAGUCCCGCAACGAGCGCAACCCUUGUCAUUAGUUGCCAUCAUUUGGUUGGGCACUCUAAUGAGACUGCCGGUGACAAACCGGAGGAAGGUGGGGAUGACGUCAAGUCCUCAUGGCCCUUAUGGGUAGGGCUUCACACGUCAUACAAUGGUCGGUACAGAGGGUUGCCAACCCGCGAGGGGGAGCUAAUCCCACAAAGCCGAUCGUAGUCCGGAUCGCAGUCUGCAACUCGACUGCGUGAAGUCGGAAUCGCUAGUAAUCGUGGAUCAGCAUGUCACGGUGAAUACGUUCCCGGGUCUU